AAGAAAAUAUGUUUGAGUGAUUAUUUCUUUCAUCCAGAUUCAGUGGUGUGGAGUCUGGGCCAACGGAUCAUAGGGAUUUCUCCAGGCUGUUGGCUCUUACCGUUGGGAAAAAAGCUGGGAAAAAACCUUGUUACUGUUAAAAGGAGAGUUUCAUGCAGGUUCAAUGGAUUGGAACGUCUAUCAACGGCUAUGAGAAAACAAAAGCACUGUUACCGUUGAUGCUUUUUAUAUACAUUUCCUAUAUAAUAGAGUAAUCGGUUUGUUUAAUUUGUCUGUGACAUCUGCUUGUUGAUUUCUCUUCAACUUGAAAUGUAUGUCAGGGUUUGUGAAAUUAAGUUCUAUGACUACAUUGGGGACAGCCGGGCCAUUAUCUUCUCACACACUGCUAAUUUUACACCAGUCUGUACGACUAAGGUGGAAAGGAUUGCCAAUUACAUUGGGGAGUUUGAGAAGCGUGGAGUUAAACUUUUGAGCUUGUCCUCUAAUGAAGUGGAUUCACACAAAGCAUGGCUGCCUGAUGUUGAAGCAUGUACCCCUGGAAGUAAGGUUACAUACCCAAUAUUGGUUGUUCCCAAAGCAGAGAUCAUGGUGAAGCUUAAUAUGUUGGACCUAGAUGAGAAAGAUGAAAUUGGAAAGCCAUUAGCAUCCAGAACCCUGCAUAUUGUUGGCCCUGACAAGAAGGUAUAGCCAGAGACCAACUACUGUUACCUAUCGCUGUGAUUCUUGGAAAUCUUUUUCUUCUUUCCAAUGAAAUCUCCAUCUAGUGCAUUGCUUGUGAGCUACUGUUUAGAUUUACGGUCAAUGGAUUGGAUGCUGCAUUGGUAUCUCGAAGCACUUUGCUCUUUAUAUCAUAGGGAACAAUCGGCCCUUUCAUUCCAAAUCCUCUGCCAUUUUUCUCUAGGGAUUCAACAGACUGCUUCACAAAAUUAAUCUUUAUUGCGUCCAGGAGGACAAUUCAGAUCAUCUUCUGCUUGGCCUUCAACUUACCAUUGACUCAUAGGAUGACCAGGAGAGGAGCCACAAACGGAUCAAGUAUGCAGAUUUGCUUCAAAACAUUUUGAUCAGCUUGCAACAUUGAAAACAUGAAAUGCUUAUAAUGUCUAGAUCUGGUUCAAGCAUUUGAUGUGCCAGAGACAAUUGGCGUUCUUUGAUACUAUUGAUUAUUAUAGACAUUAAAUAUCUUUUCCAUGAGUAUCUCAAUAGUUAUUGUAGUCAAUGCAAAACCAAUUUUAAUUUUAUAGUCACACAUCUGAAUCAAAUUGAUCAACUAAUUUGUAAAUUGAUAUGUUAAUGGAUUUGUUGUUUAAUGUAAAAUUUUUAUUUGGGAGGGGUUGAAUUUGCCCCCUCUUUUAGGUUGGAGGGAAUGAUCAUUGGUCAUGGUCAUUCUUUUCAGUCUAAUGUCUCUGUGUUGUUUUUUAUAUUUUUAUAUUGUAUUAAACUCAAACCUACUUUUUAUUUAUUUUAUUUUUACUCCA